AACCUUUUUUCCUGCAAAAGGACUACAUGUAGAAUUAGUAAAUAAAAUGCACAAGAUACAGUAAGAGAGUUGAAUCCUAAGCUAAUAAAUGUCUGAACCUAAACCUGUUUAAUCCUAGAAGGCCAAUGAUACAUUAGCUUCCAAUUUUACACUUACUGAUUCAGACUCCUCUACAGCAUCUUUUUAAAUUUUUUUAUUUCUUUUUAGCAAAUAGGUGGAAAUAGUAUAUUGAACAAAGACAUUAUUAUGGUGUCAGCUGAACCUCUUUUCCCAUUCCAGAAUAAAUUCCUUCAUUUCUAAGGAAACCAUGUAUGAUGAAGUAAGACGACCCACAUGCAUGAUCUCUUGAACUAAGAG
rnacentral:misc_RNA from 1 species